GGUGGGCUCCACCCAGUUGGAGCUUCCCGGCUGCUUUGUUUACCUAAGCAAGCCUAGGCAAUGGUGGGCGCCCCUCCCCCAGCCUCGCUGCCGCCUUGCAGUUUGAUCUCAGACUGCCCUGCUAGCAAUCAGCGAGACUCCGUGGACGUAGGACCCUCCGAGCCAGGUGCAGGAUAUGAUCUCCUGGUGCGCCGCUUUUUUAAGCCCGUCGGAAAAGCGCAGUAUUCGGGUGGGAGGGACCGGAUUUUCCAGGUGCCGUCUAUCACCCCUUUCUUUGACUAGGAAAGGGAACUCCCUGACCCCUUGCACUUCCUGAGUGAGGCAAUGCCUUGCCCUGCUUCGGCUCCCGCUAGGUGCGCUGCACCCACUGACCUGCGCCCACUGUCUGGCACUCCCUAGUGAGAUGAACCCAGUACCUCAGAUGGAAAUGCAGAAAUCACCCGUCUUCUGCGUCGCUCACGCUGGGAGCUGUAGACCGGAGCUGUUCCUAUUCGGCCAUCUUGGCUCCUCCCGACAUUCGAUGUUUCACCAUCAAGUAUGACAUUAGCUAAUCUUGCUCUGUCGCUCAAGCUGGAGUGCAGUGGUGUGAUCUCAGCUCACUGUAAGUUCUGCUGCCCAAGUUGAAGCGAUUCUUCCACCUCAGCAUCCUGAGCAGCUGGGACUACAGGUACACACCACUGCACCUGGCUAAUCUUUAUAUUUUUAGUAGAAGUGGGAUAUCACCAUGUUGGCCAGGCUGGUCUUGAACUCCUGACUUCAAGUGAUCUGCCUGUCUUGGCCUCCCAUACUGCUGGGAUUACAAGUGUGAACCACCAUGCUGGCCUGUGACAUUUUAAUCUAGUCAAUCAGUCUUGGAAAAUAAAGCCUUGCUUUCUGUGGCACCUAAACCAACUGAUAUGGUUUGGCUCUGUGUCCCCACCCAAAUCUCUUCUUGAAUUGUAAUCCCCAUAAUCCCCACGUAUUGAGGGAGGACCUAUAGGGAAGUGAUUGGAUCCUGGGGGCCAUUCCCGCACGCUGUUCUUGUGAUAGUGAAGGAGUUCUCAUGAGAGCUGAUGGUUUUAUAAGUGUUUGGAAGAUACCCCUUCACGGCACUCUCCCUCCUGCUGUCUUGUGAAGAAGGUGCCUUGUUCCCCUUCACCUUCCACCAUGAUUGUAAGUUUCCUGAGGCCUCUCCAGCCAUGUGGAAUGGUGAGUCAAUUAAACCUCUUUCUUUUAAAAAUUACCCAGUCUCAGGUAUUUCUUUAUAGCAGUGCAAAAACUGACUAAUACACCAACCUCUUUGAUAUCAGUUUCAUGUCAAGAAUAAGAAAAAUAAGGAAGAAAAUUGGGAGAUCGACAUAUUGAAAUUUAAAGAAUAGAAUUGGGUUUGAAAAAAAUGUUUUAG
rnacentral:lncRNA from 10 species